AGCAACCUUUCAGCUUCUGCACAGAUCCACCAAAUGUUUGCUAACUGCUGCUGGCUAGUCUGAAGGAGCUGAGUGUGGGAGGAGCUGCAUCUCGGAGGCGGGGCUACGUCCACCCAGACGUUUUUGGACAGCUGAAUGGUUGCCGUGGAGAUUAAAUAAUUUCUCAAAC